AUGGAGCAAGCGUUAUCCGGAUUUACUGGGUGUAAAGGGAGCGUAGACGGUUGUGCAAGUCUGAUGUGAAAUUCCAGGGCUUAACCCUGGACCUGCAUUGGAAACUGUAUAACUAGAGUGUCGGAGAGGUGAGUGGAAUUCCUAGUGUAGCGGUGAAAUGCGUAGAUAUUAGGAGGAACACCAGUGGCGAAGGCGGCUCACUGGACGAUAACUGACGUUGAGGCUCGAAAGCGUGGGGAGCAAA
rnacentral:rRNA from 1 species